rnacentral:other from 1 species
AACCCGCUGCCCGGCGCGUUAGGACCUGAUUUCCCCGGGGCCGUAACUCACUGAAUGGGAGCUGUCUCUGGCGAGGGCCGUGGUCCUCAUCACGCGGCGCCCACCUGUACCUUAGGGUCCAGGGCGAACCAUCAGUCCGACGGCCGUGGCGGCGCUAAA